rnacentral:sRNA from 1 species
GGCCCAGCUGGCACAGGCAAAACUGAGACCACCAAAGACCUGGGUAAGGCCUUGGCCAUACAGACCAUUGUGUUCAACUGCUCUGACCAGCUCGACUUCUUGGCCAUGGGCAAGUUCUUCAAGGGCCUGGCCAGGUGGAACGCUUCAUGUUUGAGGGUGUGGAGAUCCCACUGGUGCCAUCCUGCGCAGUGUUUAUCACCAUGAACCCGGGCUACGCUGGCCG